AGUGAACGCUGGCGGCAGGCCUAACACAUGCAAGUCGAGCGGCAGCGCGGGGGCAACCCUGGCGGCGAGCGGCGGACGGGUGAGGAAUGCAUCGGAAUCUACCUCGUUGUGGGGGAUAACCUCGGGAAACCGGGACUAAUACCGCAUACGACCUACGGGUGAAAGUGGGGGACCUUCGGGCCUCACGCGAUGAGAUGAGCCGAUGCCGGAUUAGCUAGUUGGCGGGGUAAAGGCCCACCAAGGCGACGAUCCGUAGCUGGUCUGAGAGGAUGAUCAGCCACACUGGAACUGAGACACGGUCCAGACUCCUACGGGGGGCAGCAGUGGGGAAUAUUGGACAAUGGGCGCAAGCCUGAUCCAGCCAUGCCGCGUGUGUGAAGAAGGCCUGGUUGUAAGACACUUUACCUAGGAGUGAGUAAUGACAGUACCUGGAG
rnacentral:rRNA from 1 species